rnacentral:rRNA from 1 species
CUAGUGAUUCCUACGGGAGGCAGCAGUAGGGAAUAUUGGGCAAUGGAGGCAACUCUGACCCAGCCAUGCCGCGUGCCGGAUGAAGGCCUUCUGGGUUGUAAACGGCUUUUCUCUAGGAAGAAACGACCCUUGCGAGGGGCAUUGACGGUACUAGAGGAAUAAGCACCGGCUAACUCCGUGCCAGCAGCCGCGGUAAUACGGAGGGUGCAAGCGUUGUCCGGAUUUAUUGGGUUUAAAGGGUGCGUAGGCGGCUUGAUAAGUCCGUGGUGAAAGCCAACAGCUCAACUGUUGAACUGCCAUGGAUACUGUCAGGCUUGAGUACAGACGAGGUAGGCGGAAUGGAUGGUGUAGCGGUGAAAUGCAUAGAUACCAUCCAGAACACCGAUUGCGAAGGCAGCUUACUAGGCUGUAACUGACGCUGAGGCACGAAAGCGUGGGGAGCGAACAGGAUUAGAUACCCUGGUAGUCCACGCUGUAAACGAUGAUGACUCGAUGUGGGCGAUACACAGUCCGCGUCUUAGCGAAAGCGUUAAGUCAUCCACCUGGGGAGUACGCCCGCAAGGGUGAAACUCAAAUGAAUUGACGGAAUCGAAUUCCCGCG